rnacentral:rRNA from 1 species
AAUGGUUGUGAAGAUGCAAUCUCCCCGCUGCUAGACGGAAAGACCCCGUGAACCUUUACUGUAGCUUUGCAUUGGACUUUGAAGUCACUUGUGUAGGAUAGGUGGGAGGCUAAGAAGCAGGAACGCUAGUUCUUGUGGAGCCGUCCUUGAAAUACCACCCUGGUGACUUUGAGGUUCUAACCCGGAUCCAUAAUCUGGAUCGGGGACCGUGCAUGGUAGGCAGUUUGACUGGGGCGGUCUCCUCCCAAAGAGUAACGGAGGAGUUCGAAGGUUACCUAGGUCCGGUCGGAAAUCGGACUGAUAGUACAAUGGCACAAGGUAGCUUAACUGCGAGACCGACAAGUCGAGCAGGUGCGAAAGCAGGACAUAGUGAUCCGGUGGUUCUGAAUGGAAGGGCCAUCGCUCAACGGAUAAAAGGUACUCCGGGGAUAACAGGCUGAUUCCGCCCAAGAGUUCAUAUCGACGGCGGAGUUUGGCACCUCGAUGUCGGCUCAUCACAUCCUGGGGCUGUAGUCGGUCCCAAGGGUAUGGCUGUUCGCCAUUUAAAGUGGUACGUGAGCUGGGUUUAAAACGUCGUGAGACAGUUUGGUCCCUAUCUGCAGUGGGCGUUGGAAGUUUGACGGGGGCUGCUCCUAGUACGAGAGGACCGGAGUGGACGAACCUCUGGUGUACCGGUUGUGACGCCAGUCGCAUCGCCGGGUAGCUAAGUUCGGAAGAGAUAAACGCUGAAAGCAUCUAAGCGUGAAACUCGCCUGAAGAUGAGACUUCCCUAGGGAUUUAAUCCCUCUGAAGAGACGUUCGAGACCAGGACGUUGAUAGGUCGGGUGUGGAAGAGUGGUAACACUUGGAGCUAACCGAUACUAAUUGCUCGUGAGGCUUGACUCUAU